AUGGAGAAAUCAGGCAUCUGGAGUUUUGUUUUUGUAGUUCUUUUUCAGAGAGUCUGGAGUGAGGUUAGACUGGAUCAAUCAGCCUCUCAGGUGAAGAGACCUGGGGACACAGUGAAGAUGUCUUGUGUCGCUUCUGGUUACAGCAUGACAGGCCCUAAUAUGCACUGGAUAAGACAGAAACCAGGGAGAGCUCUGGAGUGGAUUGGAUAUAUGAGCACUGGUAACAACAAUCCCACCUAUGCCAGCUCCUUUCAAAGUCGUUUCACCAUGACUGAAAAUGUCCCCAGCAGCACCCAGUACCUUGAGAUCAGCAGACUAACAGCAGAAGAUUCUGCUGUUUACUUCUGUGCUCGGAGAGACACUGUGACUUAA